rnacentral:rRNA from 1 species
UCCUUAGAUGUCCUGGGCCGCACGCGCGCUACACUGAACGGAUCAGCGCGUUUUCCCUUCCCGAGAGGGACGGGUAACCUGCUGAACCCCGUUCGUGGUAGGGAUCGGGGCUUGCAAUUAUUCCCCGUGAACCAGGAAUGCCCAGUAAGUGCAAGUCAUAAGCUUGCGUUGAUUACGUCCCUGCCCUUUGUACACACCGCCCGUCGCUACUACCGAUUGAACGUUUUAGUGAGGUACUCGGACUGAGCCUCAGAAGAUUCACGUCUUUUGUGCUGCUCGGGAAGAUUCCCAAACUUGAGCGUUUAGAGGAAGUAAAAGUCGUANCA